rnacentral:lncRNA from 1 species
AUGUCGUGGCUUAUUGCCACAUGCUGUCUUACUGCCCCAUGUCGUGGCUUAUUGCCACGUGCUGUGUCUUACUGUGUGCUGUGGCUUAUUGCCACGUGCUCUGUCUUACUGCCCCAUGUCGUGGCUUAUUGCCACGUGCUCUGUCUUACUGCCCCAUGUCGUGGCUUAUUGCCACAUGCUGUCUUACUGCCCCAUGUCGUGGCUUAUUGCCACAUGCUGUCUUACUGCCCCAUGUCGUGGCUUAUUGCCACGCACUGUGUCUUACUGUGUGCUGUGGCUUAUUGCCACAUGUUGUGUCUUACUGUGUGCUGUGGCUUAUUGCCACGUGCUCUGUCUUACUGCCCUGUGUCGUGGCUUAUUGCCACACACUGUGUCUUACUGUGUGCCGUGGCUUAUUGCCACAUGCUCUGUCUUACUGUGUGCUGUGGCUUAUUGCCACGUGCCUUUGGUCAUUGCUGUGAGUUGUGGGUCGUCGCUGCAGGUUGUGCGCUAUGGCCACGGAUCGUGGGUGAUGACCUUGUGGUAGCUUGUGGCCACCUGCUGCCGGUUACUUCCACGGGAGACCACUUAUUGCCACGGACGGCUCCCCUCUGUUAACUAAGGGCCCCCACAGUCUCCUUCAUGCCCCCCAGUGCCGCUUUCCCCGCUCAGUCAUCAGGGAUGUGUGGGGGAUGUCAGUGGUCUGAGAGGGCUGUGGCGGGGGCAGCGCCCCGAAGACUUUCACACACUCGCUUCUAAGCCGUUUCCCCCACCUGGUGCAGGCAGGGGCCGGACCGUCCCGUCCCAGAGGGAAGGAGCAAUUCCUUGAUUUGUCCCCGAGUUCUGCUUCGCUCCCGAGCUUCCUUGCCCAGCGGUCAGCCGGGGGGUGCAGAGGCCGCCUAGGACGGCCCCUCCCUCGCGGGGGCUUUUCUGCAGUGAGGGAGCUGCAGGAUCAGGAAUCUGUCUGUCUGUCCUCUGGCUCUGGCGGGCCACACGAAGCUGCCACAGAGCGGGCCGGCCCUCUUGGUGCCGCCUGUGCCCCUGCUGGCCCACAACGCCCAGGCCGGCCCCCGGUCUCAGGCUGUGGCCGCAGGAGCCACCAUCUCCUCAGGAUCUCGG